UUAUUUUAUUUUCAUCAUCUCCAAAUUUCAAAAGUAUUUUAAAGGUUGGUUUUUAAUUUCUUAUUGUAGCAAAUUAGAUAAGUGGUUUGAUAUUUUUUUGGUAUUUUCAUUUCUUGAAAAUCAUGCUUUCAUUUUCUGAAAAUCAACUUUAAUAUGAAUUUUGUUAUCAUGUAAUAUUUUAUUACUAAGUAAAAUAAUAAGCUACUAAUAAAAAAUCAUGAAUCCAUCUACUCC
rnacentral:lncRNA from 1 species